GACGAACCGAGCGAACGUUGUUCGGAAUCACUGGGCUUAAAGGGCGCGUAGGCGGAUUCUCAAGUCCGGGGUGAAAUCCCACAGCUCAACUGUGGAACUGCCUCGGAUACUGGGGGUCUCGAGGGUGGCAGGGGUAUGCGGAACUAUCGGUGGAGCGGUGAAAUGCGCAGAUAUCAGGAAGAACACCCGUGGCGAAAGCGGCUCUCUGGAACGGGUACUGACGCUGAGACGCGAAAAGCGUGGGGGAGCGAAACAGG
rnacentral:rRNA from 1 species